UACAGAGGUCUCAAGCGUUGUUCGGAUUCAUUUGGGCGUAAAGGGUGCGUAGGCGGCGCGGUAAGUCGGGUGUGAAAUCUCGGAGCUUUAACUCCGAAACUGCAUUUCGAUACUGCCGUGCUUGAGGACUGGAGAGGAGACUGGAAUUUACGGUGUAGCGGUGAAAUGCGUAGAUAUCGUAAGGAAGACCAGUGGCGAAGGCGGGUCUCUGGGCAGUAACUGACGCUGAGGAGCGAAAGCGUGGGGAGCGAACAGG
rnacentral:rRNA from 1 species